rnacentral:rRNA from 1 species
GAUUUCUGGUACGGUGCGCCUGGUCCGCCCCGUUUAGGUGUGUGAGUACCGGCGCGCGCCUACCAUCCUUCUGGGGAGUGGGUCUACCCUUCAUUGGGCCGGAUUCGCGACCUAGAUCGUUUACUUUGAAAAAAUUAGAGUGUUUAAAGCAGGCUUAUGGCUCUGAAUACAUUAGCAUGGAAUAAUAAGAUAGGACUUUGGUUCUAUUUUGUUGGUUUCUAGGACUGAAGUAAUGAUUGAUAGGGACAGUUGGGGGUGCUAGUAUUCAGCGGCCAGAGGUGAAAUUCUUGGAUUCGCUGAAGACUAACUUAUGCGAAAGCAUU